rnacentral:pre_miRNA from 1 species
UGAACCACGCUGGAGAAGCAGGGCACAUGCUUUAAAACUUAAACAAAUCAAGCAGGUGUCCUGCUUCUCCAUCGUGGUUCA